CCUACGGGAGGCAGCAGUGGGGAAUAUUGCACAAUGGGCGAAAGCCUGAUCCAGCAACGCCGCGUGAACGAAGAAGGCUCUUGGGUCGGUAAGUUCCUUUCUGAGGGAAGAAGAAAGUGACGGUACCUCAGGAGAAAGCCCCGGCUAACUACGUGCCAGCAGCCGCGGUAAUACGUAGGCGGCAAGCGUUGUCCGGAAUUAUUGGGCGUAAAGAGUACGUAGGCGGUCUGUUAAGCGAAAGGUGAAAGGCAUAGGCUCAACCAAUGUGAGCCUUGCCAACUGGCAGACUUGAGUGCAGGAGAGGAAGGCGGAAUGCCUGGUGUAGCGGUGAAAUGCGUAGAUAUUACGCGGAACACCGAUGGCGAAGGCAGCUUUCUGGACUGAAACUGACGCUGAGGUACGAAAGCGUGGGGAGCAAACAGGAUUAGAUACCCGGGUAGUC
rnacentral:rRNA from 1 species